rfam:TPA: Bos taurus chromosome 4, whole genome shotgun sequence.
UCCCUGGUAGCUCAGUUGGUAAAGCAUCUGCCUGCAAUGCAGGAGACCCUUGUUUGAUCCGUGGGUUGGGAA